UACGGAGGAUUCAAGCGUUAUCCGGAUUUAUUGGGUUUAAAGGGUGCGUAGGCGGACGGUCAAGUCAGCGGUAAAAAUGCGGUGCUCAACGCCGUACAGCCGUUGAAACUGAUGAUCUUGAGUGGGCGAGAAGUAUGCGGAAUGCGUGGUGUAGCGGUGAAAUGCAUAGAUAUCACGCAGAACUCCGAUUGCGAAGGCAGCAUACCGGCGCUCAACUGACGCUCAUGCACGAAAGCGUGGGUAGCGAACAGG
rnacentral:rRNA from 1 species